GAGAUUAUAGCUCAGUGGUAGAGUGCAUGCUUAGCACGCAUGAGGCUCUGGAUUCAAUCCCCAGUACCUGCA
rnacentral:tRNA from 1 species